UACGUAGGGUGCGAGCGUUGUCCGGAAUUAUUGGGCGUAAAGAGCUCGUAGGCGGUGUGUCACGUCGGCCGUGAAAACCUGCAGCUUAACUGUGGGCGUGCGGUCGAUACGGGCAUCACUGGAGUUCGGCAGGGGAGACUGGAAUUCCUGGUGUAGCGGUGAAAUGCGCAGAUAUCAGGAGGAACACCAGUGGCGAAGGCGACUACCUGGCCUGUUCUUGACGCUGAGGCGCGAAAGCUAGGGGAGCAAACGGG
rnacentral:rRNA from 1 species